UUCUUCUGCCCCUGCAGAAGCGCGCAUGUGUAGUUCUCAUUUCCUCCGCUGACCGGCUGAGGCAGUUAAAUAGCUAAGAGGGCUCCUGGGGGAAACCAAACGUUACGUUUAUGGAAAAGCUGCUUUUAGAUACUGGAGUGGCUUCCAAGUUCACCGCGGCCAUAAGUUAAGGAAGAUGAGCAACGUGAAAUGAGAAUAUUGUCAAAGAAAGAGCUUGGUGCUGGUUUGGGCCAGAAGCAAACAUUACAUAGGUGGAUGAUUAGAUGCUCAGGAAUUGAAAAUUUGUCCCAUGAGGAAAAUGAACAACAAAGGAACAAGAAAGUUGAGGAUAUUGAAAUGAAAAUAGAUGAAGUGAUGGUAUCUUAAACUUAAAGGGCAAGAAAACUUUCAGGAAGAAGCUAACAAUGGUUAUCUUCCUGUAUUGAGAAUUUCAGAUGCCUUUUUGAAAAUAUAUACAUAUACAAUGAUAUCUAUGAAUAAUACAUAUAUAUUAAUUUUUCAAGAGGUAAUGACUAUAUCUAUCUUCCUGGUGAAUUCUUGAUGAAUGACAAGUAGGAGAUACAAAAUAAAAUUUAUUGAAUAAAUAAAUGCUUAGAUACUUUUACAAUUAGCAU